rnacentral:rRNA from 1 species
GGCACACCCAGUAGUGGAGCCUGCGGCUUUAUAUUGACUCAACACGGGGAAAACUCACCCGGCCCGGACACCGUAAGGAUUGACAGAUUGAGAGCUCUUUCUUGAUUCGGUGGUUGGUGGUGCAUGGCCGUUCUUAGUUGGUGGAGCGAUUUGUCUGGUUUAUUCCGAUAACGAACGAGACUCUGGCCUACUAAAUAGUGACAGGAUUAUUACUGUCUUGGAUACUUCUUAGAGGGACAAGUGGUUUUCAGCCACACGAAAUUGAGCAAUAACAGGUCUGUGAUGCCCUUAGAUGUCCGGGGCUGCACGCGCGCUACACUGAAGGAAUCAGCGUGCUAAAACCAUUGUCGAAAGGCAUUGGUAAACCCAUUAAAAUCCUACGUGAUUGGGGAUCGGGAAUUGCAAUUAUUUCCCUUGAACGAGGAAUUCCCAGUAAGUGUGGGUCAUAAGCUCGCGUUGAUUACGUCCCUGCCCUUUGUACACACCGCCCGUCGCUGCCCGGGACUGAGCCGUCUCGAG